rnacentral:misc_RNA from 1 species
AACGCACAUUGCGCCCGCCAGAAUUCUGGCGGGCAUGCCUGUUCGAGCGUCAUUUCAACCCUCGAGCUCCCCUUUCGGGGGGAGCCCGGCGUUGGGGACCCGGCGCUAACAACGCCGGCCCCCGAAAUGGAGUGGCGGCCCGUCCGCGGCGACCUCUGCGUAGUAACAACCACUCGCACCGGGACCCGGGCGCGGCCACGCCGUAAAACACCCCACCUUCCGAAUGUUGACCUCGAAUCAGGUAGGACUACCCGCUGAACUUAA